AAGUCCAAGUUCCAAGUUUUGAGUUUAUCUUAAACACUUGUUACAUGGCACUGAUACUUUAUUACAGUUUCUAGUGGCGGACGGGUGAGUAACACGUUGGAACCUGCCCAAAGUGAGGAAUAAGCCACCGAAAGGUGGUCUAAUACUUCAUAAUAUCCAUCUCGUAUGGAUUAAAGCUUUAUGCGCUUUGGGAGGGGCCUGCGUAACAUUAGCUUGUUGGUGAGGUAAAAGCUCACCAAGGCUUCGAUGUUUAACUGGUUUGAGAGGAUGACCAGUCACACUGGGACUGAGAUACGGCCCAGACUCCUACGGGAGGCAGCAGUAAGGAAUCUUCCACAAUGGGGCAACCCUGAUGGAGCAAUACCGCGUGCAGGAUGAAGCGUUUCGGCGUGUAUACUGCUUUUAUCACCGAAGAUUAUGACUGUAGGUGAAGAAUAAGGACCGGCUAACUACGUG
rnacentral:rRNA from 1 species